rnacentral:rRNA from 1 species
GCAAUGGACAAAGUCUGACCGAGCAACGCCGCGUGAGUGAAGAAGGUUUUCGGAUCGUAAAGCUCUGUUGUAAGUCAAGAACGUGUGUGAGAGUGGAAAGUUCACACAGUGACGGUAGCUUACCAGAAAGGGACGGCUAACUACGUGCCAGCAGCCGCGGUAAUACGUAGGUCCCGAGCGUUGUCCGGAUUUAUUGGGCGUAAAGGGAGCGCAGGCGGUCAGGAAAGUCUGGAGUAAAAGGCUAUGGCUCAACCAUAGUGUGCUCUGGAAACUGUCUGACUUGAGUGCAGAAGGGGAGAGUGGAAUUCCAUGUGUAGCGGUGAAACGCGUAGAUAUAUGGAGGAACACCAGUGGCGAAAGCGGCUCUCUGGUCUGUCACUGACGCUGAGGCUCGAAAGCGUGGGUAGCGAACAGGAUUAGAUACCCUGGUAGUCCACGCCGUAAACGAUGAGUGCUAAGUGUUAAGCCCUUUCCGGGGCUUAGUGCUGGAGCUAACGCCAUAAGCACUCCGCCUGGGGAGUACGACCACAAGGUUGAAACUCAAAGGAAUUGACGGGGGCCCGCACAAGCGGUGGAGCAUGUGGUUUAAUUCGAAGC